rnacentral:rRNA from 1 species
AGGACGAACGCUGGCGGCGUGCCUAACACAUGCAAGUCGAACGGGACCGGGGGCACUUCCGGGUUCAGUGGCGGACGGGUGGCGUAACACGUGAGGGACAUGACUUUCCGGCGGGGGAUAGCCGGGCCCAACGGCCCGGGUAAGUACCGCGUACGGACCUUUCGGGGACAUCCCCGGCUGGUGAAAGCAGCAAUGCGACCGGAAAAGAGUUGCCCUCGCGGCCUAUCGACGCUAGUUGGUGAGGUACGGCUCGACCGAAGGCAACGACGGGUAGCUAGGG